CCUACGGGGGGCUGCAGUGGGGAAUAUUGGACAAUGGGCGAAAGCCUGAUCCAGCCAUGCCGCGUGUGUGAAGAAGGCCUUCGGGUUGUAAAGCACUUUCAGUGGGGAAGAAAGCCUUGGGGCUAAUACCCUCGAGGAAGGACAUCACCCACAGAAGAAGCACCGGCUAACUCCGUGCCAGCAGCCGCGGUAAUACGGAGGGUGCGAGCGUUAAUCGGAAUUACUGGGCGUAAAGCGCGCGUAGGCGGUCUGAUAAGCCGGUUGUGAAAGCCCCGGGCUCAACCUGGGAACGGCAUCCGGAACUGUCAGGCUAGAGUGCAGGAGAGGAAGGUAGAAUUCCCGGUGUAGCGGUGAAAUGCGUAGAGAUCGGGAGGAAUACCAGUGGCGAAGGCGGCCUUCUGGACUGACACUGACGCUGAGGUACGAAAGCGUGGGUAGCAAACAGGAUUAGAUACCCGGGUAGUC
rnacentral:rRNA from 1 species